ACAAGGGCGCAAGGUGAAUGCCUUGGCACUAGGAGCCGAUGAAGGACGCGACGAACAGCGAUAUGCUUCGGGGAGCCGUAAGUAGGCAGCGAUCCGGAGAUUUCCGAAUGGGGCAACCCACCGGCCGGAAGGGUCGGUAUCAGCCUUUGGCUGAAGGUAUACGCGGCGAACUGAAACAUCUCAGUAGCCGUAGGAAAAGAAAGCAAUAGCGAUUCCCUUAGUAGCGGCGAGCGAAACGGGAACAGCCCGAGUUCAGCAUCUGAGUUACAAAACACCAAGAUAGCCGAAACUGCCUGGAACGGCAUGCCACAGGGGGUGAGAGCCCCGUAGGCGAAAUCUUGGUGUCUCAGCUGGACGAAGAGUACGGCGGAACACGAGUAAUUCUGCCGGAACAUGCGAGAACCAUCUCGUAAGGCUAAAUACUCCCUAGUGACCGAUAGUGGACCAGUACCGUGAGGGAAAGGUGAAAAGAACCGCGGGAGCGGAGUGAAAGAGAACCUGAAACCUUGUGCCUACAAGAAGUCAGAGCCCGUUAAUGGGUGAUGGCGUGCCUUUUGUAGAAUGAACCGGCGAGUUACGGCGGCAUGCGAGGUUAAGCCUGGAAGGGUGGAGCCGCAGCGAAAGCGAGUCCGAAUAGGGCGUCGAGUCUGUCGUCGUAGACCCGAAACCGAGUGAUCUAGCCAUGGGCAGGCUGAAGUUGGGGUAAAACCCAAUGGAGGGCCGAACCGGGAGAUGUUGAAAAAUCUUCGGAUGACCUGUGGCUAGCGGUGAAAUGCCAAUCGAACUCGGAGAUAGCUGGUUCUCACCGAAAUAGCUUUCGGGCUAGCGUCAAUGUGAGUGCUGCGGAGGUAGAGCACUGAAUGGUUGAAGGUCCCGUCAAGGGAUACUGAUAUCAAUCAAACUCCGAAUGCCGCACGCACGUCAUUGGCAGUCAGACUGUGGGUGAUAAGGUCCAUAGUCGAGAGGGAAACAGCCCAGACCGCCAGUUAAGGUCCCUAAAUCCAUGUUGAGUGGGGAAGGAUGUGGAGUCGCUUAGACAACUAGGAGGUUGGCUUAGAAGCAGCCAUCCUUUAAAGAGUGCGUAACAGCCCACUAGUCGAGUGACUCUGCGCCGAAAAUGUACCGGGGCUAAACAUGGUACCGAAACUGCGGAUUCGUAAGAAUGGUAGGUGAGCGUUGUCUUCUGUGGCGAAGCCAGACCGUGAGGACUGGUGGAACGUAGACAAGCGAGAAUGCCGGUGUGAGUAACGAAAAGUAAGGUGAGAAUCCUUACCGUCUAAAGUCUAAGGUUUCCAGAGGAAGGCUCGUCCGCUCUGGGUUAGUCGGGACCUAAGGUGAGGCUGAAAAGCGUAGCCGAUGGAUAACAGGUUGAUAUUCCUGUACCGCCUAGCAAGCCGAAGGAGUGACGAAGAAGGAUAACGGGAGCUGGCCAGUGGAUACGGUCAGUUCAAGCGUCGAGGCCGCGGCAUAGGAAAAUCCGUGCCGCACAAGGCUGGGGCGUGACGACGAAAGUCCCGCGAUUUCAUGCUUCCAAGAAAAGCUUCUACGAUCACUUGUUAGGUGCCCGUACCGCAAACCGACACAGGUAGACGAGGAGAGAAUCUCAAGACGCGCGAGAGAACUCUUGCCAAGGAACUCGGCAAAAUGGCCCCGUAACUUCGGGAGAAGGGGAGCUCCGCUUCGGCGGAGCCGCAGAGAAUAGGCCAGUGCGACUGUUUAUCAAAAACACAGCUCUAUGCUAAAUCGUGAGAUGAUGUAUAUGGGGUGACGCCUGCCCGGUGCUGGAAGGUCAAGGGGAAGGAUUAGGCUUCGGCCAACGUCCUGAACCGAAGCCCCAGUAAACGGCGGCCGUAACUAUAACGGUCCUAAGGUAGCGAAAUUCCUCGUCGGGUAAGUUCCGACCCGCACGAAAGGCGCAACGAUGCUGGCACUGUCUCGGCAAGAGACUCGGUGAAAUCUUGGUACCUGUAAAGACGCAGGUUGCCCGCGACAGGACGGAAAGACCCCGUGGAGCUUUACUGUAGCUUGACAUUGGUAAUGGGUGUCCAUUGUACAGGAUAGGUGGGAGGCUUUGAAGCCGGGACGCUAGUUUCGGUGGAGCCAUCCUUGGGAUACCACCCUUUGGACAUUCGUUAUCUAACCCGCCGGUUUGUAGCCGGGGGGACAGUGUCUGGUAGGCAGUUUGACUGGGGCGGUCGCCUCCUAAAAAGUAACGGAGGCGCACAAAGGUUCCCUCAGAAUGGUCGGCAAUCAUUCAUAGAGUGUAAAGGCAGAAGGGAGCUUGACUGCGAGACGUACAUGUCGAGCAGGUACGAAAGUAGGUCUUAGUGAACUGGCAGUACUGAAUGGAAAGGCUGUCAAUCAACGGAUAAAAGUUACCCCGGGGAUAACAGGCUAAUUCCUCCCAAGAGUUCACAUCGACGGAGGAGUUUGGCACCUCGAUGUCGGCUCAUCACAUCCUGGAGCUGGAACCAGUUCCAAGGGUUGGGCUGUUCGCCCAUUAAAGUGGUACGCGAGCUGGGUUCAGAACGUCGUGAGACAGUUCGGUCCCUAUCCGUCGUGGGCGUUGGGAAUUUGAGGAGAGCUAACCCUAGUACGAGAGGACCGGGUUGGACACACCGCUGGUGCACCAGUUGGGUUGCCAGACCCAUGGCUGGGUAGCUAUGUGUGGCAGGGAUAAACGCUGAAAGCAUCUAAGCGCGAAGCCCACUCCAAGAUGAGAUUCCCCAUCGCAAGAGUAAGAUCCCUUGUAGACUACGAGGUUGAUAGGCCAGAGGUGGAAGCGCGGUGACGUGUGAAGCUGACUGGUACUAAUCGAUCGAGGACUUAACUUU
rnacentral:rRNA from 1 species